UAGAGCACUUGGCAGUUCUAUGUGAUGC
rnacentral:piRNA from 1 species